rnacentral:lncRNA from 1 species
GGCAAAAAGGACAGUUUAUUAAAAGAGUACUGGAGUGCCUCAUGGAACUUUGGGAAAGUCCUUGGAAGAGCCUGACUUCAGAGAUGACUGGACUCAGGACUAAAAAAAACCUGGGAUUCUCUUCCUGUUGGCUUUAUUCCCUCCCGCUGAGGACCAACUUCUUCCACCGGCUGGAGGAUAUUACAUCUCUCAGUUACUGUCACGGGAGAGUGAGUGCCCCUUUUCCAGUAGUUUCUAUUAAGAAAAGGAAAUCCCAAAGAGGGCCCUGAUCAGACUGGUAUUUGGACCUAAGAGCCACGAGUAGGGAUGGGAGCUGUAAAGCAGAGCCACCUGGCACAGGCUUGUUCCUGCUGGUUCCAGAUAAUGACUUAAAUCACUGUUGGCUGUCAGUGUGCAUUGACAACGUACUCAGAAGAUUAUGUUCCACCAUAUGAUUAUCAGCCACAUGCUUAUCCCUGUCAAGAUGAUUAUUCCAUAGUCCACAGAAAAUGCCGUUCUCAGUUCACGGAUCUAAAUGGUUCUAAAAGAUUUGGCAUCAACACUUGGCAUGAUGAGAGUGGGAUUUAUGCUAAUUCAGAUGUAAAACAGAAACUCUAUCCCUUGACUAGUGGGCCUAUUGUGCCAAUUUAAAAAUAAUGUAUAGAAUCAGCAUCUCUGACUAAUGAAAAAUGGAUGUAGCAGUUGAUGAUUUUCUAUCUUAAUAAAUGCAAUGGAAGUGUUACUAUAGUAGAUUCCUUUAAGCAGAAAGUCUUAUUUUCUGGACCAGUGUUUAUAUCCUUAUUUUCAUAAGCUACUCUGGUAUUUUCCG